rnacentral:rRNA from 1 species
ACUCCUACGGGAGGCAGCAGUGGGGAAUAUUGCACAAUGGGCGCAAGCCUGAUGCAGCGACGCCGCGUGGGGGAUGACCGCCUUCGGGUUGUAAACCUCUUUCACCAUCGGCGAAGCCUGGGUGACGGUAGGUGGAGAAGAAGCACCGGCCAACUACGUGCCUGCAGCCGCGGUAAUACGUGGGUGCGAGCGUUGUCCGGAAUUACUGGGCGUAAAGAGCUCGUAGGUGGUUUGUCGCGUUGUCCGUGAAAUUCCCUGGCUCAGCUGGGGGCGUGCGGGCGAUACGGGCAGACCGGAGUACUGCAGGGGAGACUGGAAUUCCUGGUGUAGCGGUGGAAUGCGCAGAUAUCAGGAGGAACACCGGUGGCGAAGGCGGGUCUCUGGGCAGUAACUGACGUUGAGGAGCGAAAGCGUGGGGAGGAAACAGGAUUAGAUACCCUGGUAGUCCACGCCGUAAACGGUGGGUACUAGGUGUGGGUUUCCUUCCUUGGGAUCCGUGCCGUAGCUAACGCAUUAAGUACCCCGCCUGGGGAGUACGGCCGCAAGGCUAAAACUCAAAGGAAUUGACGGGGGCCCGCACAAGCGGCGGAGCAUGUGGAUUAAUUCGAUGCAACGCGAAGAACCUUACCUGGGUUUGACAUGCACAGGACGCCGGUAGAGAUAUCGGUUCCCUUGUGGUCUGUGUGCAGGUGGUGCAAGGCUGUCGUCAGCUCGUGUCGUGAGAUGUUGGGUUAAGUCCCGCAACGAGCGCAACCCUUGUCUCAUGUAGCCAGCGCGUAACGGCGGGGACUCUUGAGAGACUGCCGGGGUCAACUCGGA